GGAAAAACGCGAUGAGUGUUUGUUGUGAGCGGAACCGGAGGGCAGGACAGACGGAAGACUCGGUCCAGUAGACUCGGUCUCAUGUUCCUCACUGAUUUACAUGUUUGAGCCGCUGAGUGGAUCUCAGUCUGCGGACGGCACCGAGCAGCUAGCGGCUGUUAGCAUGUAGCAACCAGAGCUUUUACCUGGGCGACGCCGUACAGCUGUUAGCUUCAUGCUAACAUGUCAGUGCAUCACAGCCGAAUAACAACGUGAUUUAAUAUCCUGAAAUUAAAAUGUUCUGGUCCACUGAGAGGAGAGCAGGUCGUCCUCUCCGACACACUCAUUGAUCAGUAUCGAACAAUUUCAGGAUAUAAUCGAUUUUGACGUGACUGUAGAGAAAUUUGUACCAUUAUCAGACCAUUAGCAGCGGUCAGGUGAGAAGUGUUGUAGUUGUGGUUUUUAAUACACACAGACUGAUGCUGAAUUACAGACUGGAUCCUCAUUAUUGAUCACCUGUUCACAGAAGGUGGAUACAUUUGGUGGGAAGCAGGAGAAAUUAAACCUACAGAUUUUUACAGGGAGUUUGGUGUGACAUGCCUUCAAACAUCACUGUGAGGGAUACAAAGGAGUCCUGUUCAUUAGUUAUAAUAUCUCAGAGCAAUAUUAUCCACGAGAUGUACAUAUCUGAUGCUGAAUGAGAACAAUGUUAAAGUGGCAGAUUAUUAAAUGCAGUUUUGAAUGAUGUUCUCAAUGAUAAUUGUUUAUUCAAUUAUUGACAAAAAGCCAAAAUGUGCUGAAUCUUUCAGGGUAUAAUUGAUUUAUUCAGUUAAAAUAAAUCACUUCCUCUCUGACGGUGGAAUUCUGACAGAUGUGGGUCUGUUGUUGUUGUUGUUGUUGUUAUGAGACUUCACGGGGUUCAGAGGUCGAGGGGCGGGGCGAUGGCGUCAUCGUUUCGGAAAGUAUGCUGAUUCGCUGUCCACAUGAAAACUGGAGGGCUGCGUUUUCAGGAUCCGUGUGGACGGUCGACCACAACGAUGCAAUACGUGAGGUGGUGAUGUCACACAGGUGACUCCAGGGCUGUUACCGUGGAGAUGGAUGCAGACGGAGAGAGUGACAUCUGCUGUCCUGAACCUGAGCAGGCAGCAGUGCGUUUGUGAUGGAGUAUCAGUUCAGACCUCACAGGACUGCAGCCACACAGGACCUGUGGACACACACCUGAGCUCCCAUACAGAGCUACCUGUCCCGCCAGGAUCUACAUAAAGAAAGUUUCCGGCAUUCAGAGUUCCCACGGAGCCGACAGCCAACAGGAGGACGGUGAGGCAGGAGCAGGACAAGUCCUUCCAGAGUCUGAAGAACUAGAACCUGGAGGACGGAGGAGUCAUCAGGUUCUACCUGCAGCUCCCCACAGAGAGAGCUCACCUGUAUCACACACACACACACACACACACACACACACACACACACACACAGCUCCAUCCUCAUGUCUCUGUCUGUCUCCAGCUGUGGACGGCAGUGAUUCUCUGUCUCCUGAAGCUGUUCAGCUGCUCAGUUCUCUGUCAUCUCUGCAGCCGAAGAUCUUCGCUUAGCUGCAGGGAAUCCUGCAGCCUCCUCCUCCUCCUUCUCCUCCUCCUCCUCCUCCUCUGCCUCUCUCCACCUUCCAUCCAUCCUCCUUCUUCCAGACUCCUGUAGGGGAGUCAGUGUGGGUUUCAUGCCCAGAGGAGGUGCUCGACGUUGGGCAGCAGCUCAGUGGAGAAGCCCAGCAGCUGGUUGUACCGACAGUGCAGAUCAUUAGCUCUGCUGCCAGCAGUGAGGAGGAUAAUUAAUCUGACUGCUCACUAAGCCCCGCCCCUGAGUUACAGUUGCUGCCCUGUCAUCUUUACAUUCUAGAAUGUUCCAUCCAUCACCAAACUCCAUUUAAGAAACGAUCAAUUGUUGAUUUCAACCAGCUAGCUAGUUAAGCUAAUAUUAGCGCCAUUUGGGGUUGAAAUGUUAAUCUGUAGUUGACUUUUAAAGUUUUAGGAUGACAUUUUAAAGUACUUGAUGUUGACAUGAUACCUAAAGCUAAAGCUAACAGGUCAUGAUACCAUACUAACGGACUGAGGCUAAAUUGAACAGGUCUUGCCAUCAUGCUAACAGACUGUUUGGUUGUCAGCCUCUCAGCUUCAGGUGGAGGUGAAAGAAGAAGCGGAGGAGGCAAUGAAGGAUCUGCAGGACUCCACUGCUUCAUAUUGACUCAGACUCGUCACUUCACUGCUCAGAGUUCAUUUAAUUCCAGUCGCUUCAGUCGCUUUGCAGUUUUUAUCAGCUGCUUUAUCAUCUCACAUUAGAUACUCUCCUGAAAAGGACGUUAACUGUGAAACAUCUGAACUGUGUUCACUGAAGCAAAUUAAUAAUGUUCAGUUCUUAUUGUCUAAAUGUUUCACUGUCAUUCAAAUAAAUAAUUUUUGUAUGUGACGCUGUAUAAAGUUUGUGACUCAG